UCGAAAUUUUAUAGUGUCAUUUGAAAUCUCAUAGUGUCAUUUGAAGUUUUGUAGUGUCAUUUAUUUGUCGGAGUAGUGUCAUUUAGAAUCUUAUAGUGUCAUUUGAAAUCUUGUAGUACCAUUUAAAUUACACUUCUUAUAAUCGACACUAUAAGGUUGAAAUUGACACUAUAAUAUUGUAAUUGACACUAUAACAUUUUAAAUGAUACUAUUUGGAUAUAAAAAUGACACUGUAAUAAAGAAAAAAAGAAACAAAAACAAUAAAUUUGAAAGAAAAAAAAAGAAAUAAAACAGAAAAAAUUCGCAAAAAAAGAAAGAAAGAAAUAGAACAAAAAAAAAAAACAGAAAAUUUAGCAAAGAAAAAAGAAAUAAAAAACAAAUUUCCCACAAAAUGAUACUAUUUGGAUAUAAAAAUGACACUAUAAAAAAGAAAAAAGAAACAAAAACAAUAAAUUUGAAAGAGAAAGAAAGAAAUAGAACAAAAAAAACAAAAAAAAAUAGCAAUAAAAGAAACAAAUAAAAAGCAAAUUUCUCAAAAAAUGAUACUAUUUGGAUAUAAAAAUGACACUAUAAAAAAGAAAAAAGAAACAAAAACAAUAAAUUUGAAAACAAAAAUUUACAAAAAAAAAAGAAAUAAAACAACAAAUUUCGCAAAAAAAGAAGAAAGAAAUAGAACAAAAAAAAAACAGAAAAUUUAGGAAAAAAAAAUAAAUAAAAAGCAAAUUUCCCAAA
rnacentral:lncRNA from 1 species